CAGGCUCUAAAAUUAGAAAGAUUAUAUCAUAAUGAAAAUUUGUACUAAGUUUCAAGUUGAUUGGACUUCAGCUUCAUCAAAAAAUUCCUUGACCAAAAACUAACCUGAAGCGGGACAGACGGACGAACGACCGGAUGGACGCACAGACCAGAAGACAUAAUGUCCCUCUACUUUCGUAGGUGGGGCAUAAAAAUUAGCUAGAGAUGACUUGUGCAUGUAUUUGGAGUAUGAGUCUUGUUCCAGCCAUUUAAUAAAAGGAAAAGAAUGUAAUAUUGAUAGUGAAACAAAAGGCAAACUCUUUCAUCAACUAAUUUUAUCCAAUAAAAAUC
rnacentral:lncRNA from 1 species